rnacentral:rRNA from 1 species
GACGAACGCUGGCGGCGUGCUUAACACAUGCAAGUCGAACGGUGAAGCACCUUCCUUUUGGUGGGUGUGGAUGAGUGGCGAACGGGUGAGUAACACGUGAGUAACCUGCCCCCUUCUUCUGGAUAACCGCAUGUAAGUGUGGCUAAUACGGGAUAUUCUGGGUCUGUCGCAUGGCGGGCCUGGGGAAGAUAUUGUUUCGGUGGGGGAUGGGCUCGCGGUCUAUCAGCUUGUUGGUGGGGUGAUGGCCUACCAAGGCGGUGACGGGUAGCCGGCCUGAGAGGGUGGACGGUCACACUGGGACUGAGACACGGCACAGACUCCUACGGGAGGCAGCAGUGGGGAAUAUUGCACAAUGGGCGCAAGCCUGAUGCAGCGACGCCGCGUGAGGGAUGGAGGCCUUCGGGUUGUAAACCUCUUUCGCCAGUGAAGCAGGCCUGUCCCUUUUGUGGGUGGGUUGACGGUAGCUGGAUAAGAAGCGCCGGCUAACUACGUG